AUUGAACGCUGGCGGCGUGCCUAACACAUGCAAGUCGAGCGGUAACAGGUGUAGCAAUACAUGCUGACGAGCGGCGGACGGGUGAGCAAUGCUUGGGAAUCUGUCUAUUAGUGGGGGACAACCCGGGGAAACUCGGGCUAAUACCGCAUACGCACCAUGGUGGAAAGCCGGGGACCGCAAGGCCUGGCGCUAAUAGAUGAGCCCAAGUCGGAUUAGCUAGUUGGGAGGUAAUGGCUCACCAAGGCGACGAUCCGUAGCUGGUCUGAGAGGACGACCAGCCACACCGGAACUGAGACACGGUCCGGACUCCUACGGGAGCAGCAGUGGGGAAUAUUGGACAAUGGGGGAAACCCUGAUCCAGCGACGCCGCGUGGGUGAAGAAGGCCUGCGGGUUGUAAAGCCCUUUCAGUGGGAAGAAAGCCUCGUUCUAAUACAGCGGGUCUUGACGUAACUCACAAAGAAGCACCGGCUAACUCUGUGCCAGCCGCCGCGGUAAU
rnacentral:rRNA from 1 species